GGGCGAUUAGCUCAGAUGGUUAGAGUGCUUGCUUGACAUGCAAGAGGUCCCCAGUUCGACUCUGGGAUCGCCCACCA
rnacentral:tRNA from 1 species